UUUAUUUUUAAAUUAAAAAUUACUUCGCCAAUGAACUCUCGGCCUUCGGUCCGAGUUUCUAUAUCAGAUAAAGAUCGGAUGCUCAUGUUUUAACUAGUGCAUAAAAUUAAGUAAAAUUUUACUUUAUAAAUUUUUAAAUAAAAAACUGAAAUAAAUACCCACACAGAGCCUGGGCCACCUGUGGAUUUACUGCUUGCCAGCCUAGCAAUGGGCUAUUCCAUUUAAUAUCCGUACCCCCCCUGUCGAGGAUCCCUGGAAUUCUUCAGGGGUACAGGGUUUUGAGCUUGGAAUUCUUCAGGGGUAAAGUGUCUUGAGCUUGGAAUUCUUCAGGGGUAAAGUGUUUUGAGCUUGGAAUUCUUCAGGGGUAAAGGGUUUUGAGCUUGGAAUUCUUCAGGGGUAAAGGGUUUUGAGCUUGGAAUUCUUCAGGGGUAAGGAGGUUUGAUUGGAAAUUUUUCAGAGCUUGGAAUUCUUCAGGGGUAAAGGGUUUUCAGCUUGGAAUUCUUCAGGGGUAAAAGGUUUUGAGCUUGGAAUUCUUCAGGGGUAAAGGGUUUUGAGCUUGGAAUUUUGGAAUUCUUCAGAGGUAAAAGGUUUUGAGCUUGGAAUUCUUCAGGGGUAAAGGGUUUUGAGCUUGGAAUUUUGGAAUUCUUCAGGGGUAAAAGGUUUUGAGCUUGGAAUUCUUCAGGGGUAUAACCAUAAAAAACAUGUAUCCUCGACAGGGGGUGUACGGAUAUUAAAUGGAAUAGCCCAAUGGAAGUCAAUGGUUCACAGAAUGUAUCAAACAAUAUCGUUGAAUAAUUCAUACUUCCACGUUAAACUAUUUCCAGUUAUUAAAAGAAAUACAUCAUUCAAGUAACAGACGCCAGUGCUGAAACAAGUGUUUAGAACGUUAAAUCCUCAUUCAAGGUUUGUGCUGCUCUAGCUAUUUUACUCAUAUACAGUUAUAAACAGACUCGUAUAUUUUUGGAGAUAAUAUGUAUCGGACUCGUAGCGCGUGCAGCGAACGUAUCUAUAUUUCUAUAUGUUGUAUAACGGGUGGGGACAAAAAAGUGGACAAAUUUUAGCAUACUCUACAGCCUUUAGGGAGUG